GACGAACGCUGGCGGCGUGCUUAACACAUGCAAGUCGAACGAAGAGCGACGGAAGCUUGCUUCUAUCAAUCUUAGUGGCGAACGGGUGAGUAACGCGUAAUCAACCUGCCCUUCAGAGGGGGACAACAGUUGGAAACGACUGCUAAUACCGCAUACGAUCUAAUCUCGGCAUCGAGGAUAGAUGAAAGGUGGCCUCUACAUGUAAGCUAUCACUGAAGGAGGGGAUUGCGUCUGAUUAGCUAGUUGGAGGGGUAACGGCCCACCAAGGCGAUGAUCAGUAGCCGGUCUGAGAGGAUGAACGGCCACAUUGGGACUGAGACACGGCCCAGACUCCUACGGGAGGCAGCAGUGGGGAAUCUUCCGCAAUGGACGAAAGUCUGACGGAGCAACGCCGCGUGAGUGAUGACGGCCUUCGGGUUGUAAAGCUCUGUUAAUCGGGACGAAAGGCCUUCUUGCGAAUAUUGAGAAGGA
rnacentral:rRNA from 1 species